rnacentral:rRNA from 1 species
ACCUACCUCUUACAAAGGGAUAGCCUCGGGAAACCGGGAUUAAUACCAUAUAACAUUGCGACGAAGCAUUUCGAUGCAAUCAAAGCUACGGCGGUAAGAGAUGGGCUCGCGUCCCAUUAGCCAGAUGGUGAGGUAACGGCUCACCAUAGUAACGAUGGGUAACCGGCCUGAGAGGGUGAACGGUCACACUGGAACUGAGACACGGUCCAGACUCCUACGGGAGGCAGCAGUGGGGAAUAUUGCACAAUGGAGGGAACUCUGAUGCAGCGACGCCGCGUGAGUGAUGAAGGAAUUCGUUUCGUAAAACUCUGUUCUAUGGGAAGAAAAGGACUGUACCAUAGGAGAAAGCUCCGGCUAAAUACGUGCCAGCAGCCGCGGUAAUACGUAUGGAGCGAGCGUUGUCCGGAAUUAUUGGGCGUAAAGGGUGCGCAGGCGGCUUUACAAGUUGGAUGUGAAAUAUUGUGGCUCAACCACAAACGUGCAUCCAAAACUGCAAAGCUUGAGUUAAGGAGAGGUAAGUGGAAUUCCUGGUGUAGCGGUGGAAUGCGUAGAUAUCAGGAGGAAUACCGGUGGCGAAGGCGACUUACUGGACUUAAACUGACGCUCAGGCA